rnacentral:tRNA from 1 species
CCCGCGGUAGCUCAGCCUGGCAGAGCUUCCGGCUGUAGACCGGAGUGUCGUCGGCUCAAAUCCGACCCGCGGGA